rnacentral:rRNA from 1 species
UACGAAGGGUGCAAGCGUUGUUCGGAAUCACUGGGCGUAAAGAAUGCGUAGGCGGCUAGACAAGUCAGGAGUGAAAUCCCAGGGCUCAACCCUGGAACUGCUCUUGAAACUGUCUUGCUAGAGUCCCGGAGGGGUUAGCGGAAUUCCGAGUGUAGAGGUGAAAUUCGCAGAUAUUCGGAGGAACACCAGUGGCGAAGGCGGCUAACUGGACGGGAACUGACGCUGAGGCAUGAAAGUGUGGGGAUCAAACAGGAUUAGAAACCCCGUGU